GAGGAGUGCACGUCAGACUGAGAGAACGCGCAGUUCAAAACAGGAGUUAAAAGAGGAAGAAAUAGUUGAUAAAACUGUCAAAGAGAGGAAACUUCCAGUUUUAUAUCAACCUGUGAAUAUGUGGUGAUUACAGUUGUGUGAUUGUAUUUAGCGGAUGGGUUAAUUUGCCAUUCAUACAAGUGUUGUGUUGCUACGUGAGAGAAAUCUUCGGUGGGGUGGAGAAUUCAGACCACGAUAACGGAGAUUGAGCAGGGGAGAGCAACGAUAUAUGUGAUCACACGUGUGCCAAUUACCACGUGAGCUUCUUCUUUGACUCAAAAAGUUUGAGCUGAAGUGGUGAAAUAUCCUGACUGGAAGCAGUGCUUUUGACAUCAUCAAUAAUGGAUCCUUCUAAGGCCGUACUGUCUCUUCUGUUAUUCUGGUCCUCUUCAUCAUCAUCGUCAUCCUCAGUUUCCUCUUUAUCCAUGAAGGCUACUUUGUUCUCAUAACAAAAAGAGUUCGAGCUAGAUGUGAUGUACUUCUUUUCGGCUAAAUCUCGAGCGCUGCAUUGAGGCGUGCUGGGAACCUCGUAUGUGUUCCUAAGUGUCAAGACUUAUUUAGGAGAGCUGGAGAGGUUUAGAAUAGGGGAUAGCAUCCCCUAUUCUAAAGUAUAAACUAUUCAUCACUUGUAAAUGUGUUACAUAUCAUUUGUAGACCUUUCUUUCAUGUUACAGAUUAUUUGUACUGAUCAUUUACUAAUGGUUUGUUCAUCAUUUGUUCAUGAUUAACAAUUGUUUAUUGAGAUAAUGGUACUAAAACAAUUUUGUCAUAAAUUGUUCAGUGAUUUAUAAGUGAUAAAUAAUGUGUCAACUAAUAACUUAAGCCAUCUACUAAUGAUCUGUUUGAUUUAUUUCAUGAUUUAAACUUUUUUAAGAUAACUUAGCGUACAACACAUUUGUAAAUCGUUAGUAAAACACAUAUUAAUCAUUUAUGAACAUAAUAUUCUCAUGUUUUGUAACUGAUUUGUUCAUCAUUAACUAAUAAAUUAUAAAUGACAUAACUGAAUUAAUAAAACAUUCAUAA